rnacentral:lncRNA from 1 species
CAAACGAGGAGUUCCCUUUAUCUUGGGAAAUGCGAGUGCGUAUUGCAAGAGAAGUAGCGGGGGCGCUCUCGUACUUGCACUCUUCUGCUUCUACACCUAUUUAUCACAGGGAUAUCAAGUCGACGAAUAUAUUAUUGGAUGAUAAGUAUCGUGUCAAAGUUGCUGAUUUCGGGACAUCAAGAUCGAUCGGUAUCGAUCAGACACACUUGACAACACGAGUACUAGGAACAUUCGGUUACUUGGAUCCAGAGUACUUCCAAUCGAGCCAGUUUACGGACAAGAGCGAUGUCUAUAGCUUCGGUGUUGUUGUGGUGGAGCUUUUGACAGGGGAGAAAGCUAUAUCGUCGAUUAGGGCAGAUGUGGGAAAAAGUUUGGCGACACAUUUCCUGCACUCGAUGGAGGAGAAUCGCUUAUUCGACAUACUUGAUGCGAGGGUGCUGAAAGAGGGGAAGAGAGAGGAGAUUGUGGCUAUUGCAGAGAUUGCUAAGAGAUGUCUGAAUUUGAACGGAAAGAGAAGGCCGACUAUGAAGGAAGUUGCUGUGGAGUUGGAAGGAAUUCAAAUGAUGAAAGAAGAUUCAACAGUUUAUAACAUGCAAAAUGAAGAAGGCAACAUAGAGUACGUACCUUCAAUUCGUGAUCAGGAUGCCGAGUCUUGUGAUUUUUCGUCAAUCUCAACGAGCAUGCAUUUGGAUGAUUCGGUAACUGCAUAUUUACCAGAUGAUGAUCGUCCAUUGCUUGACGAGCCCUGAAGAAUAAAUUAGUUAUCUCUCAUCUUUUAUCCAUUAUAGGGUUCUAGUUUGUAACGUGCAACUUAAUUAUUUUUCACUAUCGUCAAACUAUCUGUUUUGUUAUAAUUUUAUUAUGUACGGGGUUGAUCAUUACCCCAAAAUUUCUAAAUUUCUCUCAAAAAUGUCGUUGUUCUCAUAUUCCUUUGUAUUUUUAAUGUUUAUAUGUUGUAGUAUUCUAAUAUUUAUACUUCAUGCAUGUUGAUCGAAAAAUAAUAUGAUUAAAGUUUAUAUUAUUGUUAAUUUAAAGUCUACAAAAAUUUAAUUAUAUCGACUAUAUUAUGUGAAUACUUCGGAAAAAAAAAAACUUCAACGGCACUUCCCUGAACCUUCGAUUUAAAAUACCCUAGGUCGUCCCAUGACUAUAUGUGUAAGUAAUUUCUGAUGACGAAUUUAUAUAAAAUGGAUUUGGAAUCAACUACAUUAGUUCGUAUACAUGAUGGGGCUAUUUUAGAUAACCCAUCAUAGACAAGGUCAUGGGCCAGUUCGAGCCGGUUCACUUUUUUCGGAACCGAAACCGGCACGUACUACACACGGUACGCCGGGUCAGGCCGGCCCGCCAGUUCACUCUGGUUCCGGGCCUAUUCUGGCCGGUUCCGUACCGGCCCAGAAAUUUAUAUAUAUAUAUAUAUAUAUAUAUAUAUAUAUAUAUGUAUAUAUAUAUAUAUAUAUAAUAUUUGAUGGAUAAAUAAAUUUAAAAAAAUUACUUUUAAAUAGGAAAAAAUGGGGUGAGAGGGUAUUUAUAGGAGGGAAUUCAAAAAAGAGCAAGUAACGGCCGGUUCAUCGGGCCAGUUCAGCUUUUUCUUAUUUUUUUUAAAAUCCGGGUGAACCGCCCGGCGUUUCACGGUUCACCUAUUUUAUAGAACCGGGCCCGUCCCGAGGUACACGGGCCGGUUCACAGUUCCGAGACCGGUUCACCGGUAAACAGGCCGGUUCCGGACAGAAAACCGGCCCAUGGCCGUGUCUAACGCCUCAUUCAAUUUUCUAAGAUUAACUCCAAUGGGACUACCAAAUGGAUUAUCAAACCCAUAAACCACCUUUUUGAUAUCCCAAAAUUAAAAUUUCUACUUCAAUGGGAGUAUCAAAAUGGGUAAGUAUUCUGAUAUUCUACCUCUUUGUAUGUAAAAAUGCAUCCCGCAAAUUGAGUUAUCAAAAAAAUAACUACCUAAACAUCCAAUCACAAAUUGACACGUGGCAAUUACAAAUAAAACCCCUAAAAAAUUUCCUAUUGAUUAUUGGAGUAGAUAAACUGUAAAUGCAUAUUAAAAUAUUGGGAUUAUUUUGGAGACCCCCUCAUUUUGAAAUUAUAUAGGACUAACUACCACGAGGAUUACACACUAGUGCAAACCCCAUUCAUUUCGAUAAUAAUUUGAUAUACCCCUCGGCCACCCUGAAGUACAUAAAAUACCAUUUUAAAUUCAGUUUUACACCUAGCCACUCCCAGUCGUCUCUCUCUCUUCCUCUCUCAAAUCUUAGAUUCAAAUCCCGCCCCCAUAGAUCUCCAACCAGCGAAGUUGCUUCCCGGAGUCAUAACUCUCUCGCCGGUGGUCGAAAUUCGAUGGUUUAACUACCUUUGAAUUCCUCUCGUCGAGCUCUUUCUUUUAGUGGUGAUUUCAUUUAGUGUGAAGCACUCUAUCUUUUUUUUCAAUUGUUUUGCAGUCCGUGCAUAUCUCGAAGAUGGUGGGUCUUGCGGGAGGUGUGGAGGUGUAAUUUGUGUUUAGGUAGUCGGAAUUUGACGGGCUACCCACCUUUAGAUUUCUCUCGUCGAGAUCUAUAUUUUGAUAGUAAUUUCGUUCAUUUUUUUUAUUGUCAGAUUUAUUUCUAUAAUAUUUUUCAUUUGUGAGCGCAGAAUCUUGGGUGGUUAGCGACAGCUAAGGUUUUGGUAGGAGGCACAUGGGGUGAGGAUUCAUUGGCGGGUUGGUCUAAAAUCCCUAGCAUUUUGCAGCUAUGGCCUCUCUCUAUCUAUCUCUCGAUCUCUUAGUGUUUGUUAAUUUGAGUGUUUUGAUAUUUUUUCAUUUUUUGUUGAUUUGCACUAAUUUUUUUUUUUUUUUUUUUUUUUGAUCUUGCUAUUGCAGCUUAAUGAAAAGUCAUUAUCCUCUUCUUGAAGGUGUGAAAAUAUUUGGUUGAAGUUACAUCUGCUUCAAGUUACAGUGUUUAACAGACUGUAUACAUUACUAUACAUUACUAGUAACAUGUAGUUACAUAUGCAUAUAUUUGUGUAUUUUCGAUUUGUAUUUUAUUGGUUUUGAGGUGAUUUAUAAUAUAAAUAUUGAAAUUUUUAAAUAUUUGUUGUUGGGAUUUAUGAAUUUCUAUUGUAAAAGCCAACAUUCGUGUGUGUAAAUAAUUGAUCGAUUAAAAAUAUGGUGUAAAAAAAAAAAACUAUGAAUGUCUAUAAUUUACUAUAGUUACAUGUAGUUACAUAUGCAUAUAUUUUUGUAUUUUCGAUUUGUAUUUUAUUGGUUAUGAGGUAAUUUAUAAUAUAAAUAUUGAAACUUGUAAUUUUUUGUUGUUGGGUUUUAUGAAUUUCUUUUGUAUAAGUCAGUAUUUGUAUGUGUACAUAAUUGAUCAACUAAAAAUAUGGGGUAAAAAACAAGAACAUAACUACGAAUGACUAUAGUUUACUACAGUUACAUAUAGUUAUUUUCAGUAUAGUAAACAUAUUGAUUUAAAAAAAAAAAACAAUUAAACAAAAUUAAUAGAAAAAUAUAUAAAUUAAACUAAGAGGUUUAUUAUAUAUAUAUAAAAUAAAUCAGCGAAAAUGAUAAAUACAGGACAAAAAAUGCUAAAUGUAUUUUGGCCGAAAAUUACAUAUUAGGGUAGUAUAGUACAUUCGCCUCUCCAGGAGGUAUGUCAAAGGAAGAAUCCGAUUUGAGUUUAUCCCUACUUUAGUACCCACUUAGGUAUGUAUAUAAAAUAAGCCCUAAAAUAUUAUCUUAAUUAUCAAAUGAGUAUUUGAUAAUCAUAUUUUGAUGUUUACUUGGAGUUUCUCUAAGAGCAACUCCAAUGGAGUUAUUAAAUGAGUUAUCAAAUCUGUUAACUACCAUUUGACUCCUAAAAUUUAAAAAUUUUGUUCUUCAAAGGGGUUAUUAAAAUGGAUUUGUAUUUUGAUAUUUCACCAUUUUGAAUCUAAAAAUACUUCCUGCAGAUUGCGUUAUCAAAACAAUAACCACCUAACCAACCAGUCGCAAAUUGACAAGUGACAAUUACAUAUAAAAUUAUCAAAAAACUUCCAAUUGAUAAUAAAAUUUGAUUACCAUGGUUGGAGUAUAUGAGUUUUAAAUGUAUUUUAAAAUAUUAUCUUAAAUAUCAAAUGAACAUUUGAUAAUUCAAUUUUGGUAUUUAGCAUUGCAGUUGCUCUAAGAGGAUAAAUCCAAUUUUUAAUCCCUUUUUUGAUAAUGCCCUCCAUAGCAUAAUACCUAAAUUACCCUUGAUGUAUUUUUUGAUUUUUAUGUUUAAUUUAUUUUCCCAAAAUAAUUCUCCUAAAUAUCCACCCUCCCCAAAAUCUCUCAAAAAUCUCAUACUAUUUCAAUUAAAAAAAAUUACGUUUUUUUUAUUAUGUUUUUAAUUUUUUUUUUAAUUUUUUUUUGAUUAAAUGGUGUUUUUUUUAUUUUAACUUUAUUUUUAUUCAGAAGUUUGUUUUUAUAAGAAAAUUAGAAAAUUUUGAUUUUCUUUAAAAGAUAUAUAUAUAUAUAUAUAUAUAUUCAUUUAAAAAAAAUGAUUUUUAAUUUUGAUUUUUUUUUAAAUUAUCUUUUUACAUUUCGAUUUAGAAAACAUAUAGUAUUUAACAAAUUGAAACGCACUAUAACAUUAUCUAAAAUCAUUAUGUAAUUAAUGUAUUCUAUUACAAAAAAAUCACUAUAAACUUAUCGAAAAUCACCAAGUAAUUAAGGUUGUCCAUUGCGAAAAUUCAGUUUAAACUUAUUGAAAAUUUCUAUUUUUUAAAUGGUGAUAUGUCCACCCCUUAAAUCUUUCUUUCUGAUAACCCCCUAGAAUUUGUAUUUCCAAUUCUACCCUUAUGUCAAUUAGCAUAACAAUAAUCUAAUUAUUCCCUUUUUUCUCAAUUAUUCCCUUUUUUCUCUCUUUCCAUAACAAUAAUCUAAUUUCUUAAAAUCUGCUUCCAAAUUCUUAUAAAUUUGCUACCAAAUCAAAAAAAAAAUGAUUUUUUUAUUUAUUUUUUAUUUUUUAUUAUUUUCGAAAUUUUAGUCAUUUUUAUUUAUUUUGUUUUUAUAUUUUUUUAAUAAAAAUAUAUAUUUUAAUUUUUUUUAAACAAAAAAUUGAAUUUUUUUUCUCGACAUAUUUACAACUCCGAAUAUGACUAUAGUUGAAUAUGACUAUAUGUUUACCAAAUUAUAGUCAUGUUUACCAAAUUAUAUAAAACAACGAAAAUUCCCUAUUGUUUACGAAAGCAAUCCAAUCAAAAUCCACACAAAAAAUAACAAUUUUGAAUCUAGUUAUUAGAAGUCAACUUGAAAACGAGAAGAUAGAACAUAUUCGAAUAUGACAACAAUCAUAUUCAACAAUAGUCAUAUUCGAAUAUGAUUACAAGUCAUAUUCAAAAAAUACAUAAAUAUGACUAUAGACAUAUUUGAACAUGACUAUAGUCAUGUGACCACUAUUGUUAAUACAUAAAUAAAGAUAGAAAAAUAACGAAAGAGAGUCAUGGGGAGUGGACGACAACGACUAUGGUGACGGUGAUGAGGAAAGAGAGUGAGAGAGGCGGGAUCAAUCUAUGGAUCUGAAGGUGAUAAAUAUGGAUAUGUAUCUGUUAUAAAGAUUCUGGCAAAGUUAAAAUGCAAAAUGAAAUCCCUAUUCCCCAGUCAGAGGAGUUGCCAGGAAGUAUAUUGAGUACCGACAACUUUGAUAGAUUUGCAUUCAAGUCUGGGGCAUUGACAAAAUGGGGUCAAAUUCUCGGAUUUGUGCCACACAUGAUUCAAUGGAGUUGGACAAACAGUUUGAUACAUGAUUAUCGUUGCAAAAUGUGGAAAACGAUGAAAGAAUGGCGGUGGAAAAUCUGGAAAAUAAAAAUAAAAAAAUGAGAAAGAUAACGAAAAAAAGAGAAAGAGUCUUACGUGGUAACGAAGGAGGAGGCGGCGGCAAUGAGCGGUGACGGUAAUGAUUGUGCACAAAUAUACGUGGAGAAGAUGGUGGUGUAAAGAGAGAGAAAUCGAAAGAAACAACGAACAAGAGAAAAUAAUAAAUCACUAAUCGAGUGAAUUAACAAUAGUCAUAUACGAACCAGAGUAGUCACGUUCAUGCUGCUUUUUCAGAUCUGGAGAGAAACAAAAAAUCGAAAAUAACGAAAGGGAGCGAGGGGGAGGCGACGGCAACGACUGUGAUGACAGAGAGAGUAGGGACGUGGCUACGGUGGCGGCGGUGGACAAAUCUGAAUCCGCCGCCACCACUUGUACGGAGGAGGGCCUCCUGCAUUAGGUUUCGGCCGAUCAGCGGUUAAAAGGUAUUUUUGACUCCGGCAGUGACGAGUGCACGAACAACGAUGGCUAUGGUCAGUGGACUACGACUGGUGUGAAAAAGAUGAAGGAGGACACCGGUACAAAUCUGCAUAAAGACGGAAAAAGAAGAAAAAAAAAAAAAAAAAAGAGGCGAGAUUGAGAGGAGGGGAGUAAAAGAGUGAAAUAAAUUAUAUCAUGUUAAAAACCUAAUCACAUAAGGGCACUUUAGUCUUAUCAUGCCUGGUUAGGGGGUUUUACUAAUUAAGAAUGAAUCUUGGGUGUAGGCAAAAGUCUCUAAUUUUCUAAUAGUCAAUUAUGUUUAGUUCAAAAUAUUUGCCAUUUGAGGGGAUAUUGCAUAUUUCCCCUUUUUAAAAUCAUUUUUUUUUCCAGCAGGUUUACUAAAUGUAUUUGUAUACUUCAAUUCUAAAAGUCUUUAAUGGAAAUUGAUCAAGUUUCCAUGAAUUAUCAUAAAUUUGAUUUGUUUGUUUUGGUGCUCAAAUAGGCUCGUGAUCCCCAAUUUGAGACCCGGAGCUAUUUGGCGGUUUGCUAAUCGCCAAAUAGAAGUUCAAAAUCGACCAAUAUUAUAAACAAAAUCAAAUAGAAUUUUGGAAAUUCGAAGACCAUAAUUGGUGCUAAAACAUCCCCAGGAUUCUCACCCUAGAGAUAUCGAUGCAUAUUUAGAACGUCCUGAACAACCCAUGAUGGGUUGUCUUUAGUCCAACGUACAAAGCCCAUCAAUUCGAGCUUCUAAACGUGAAUGUUUUUAAUAAAAUAUAUAAGUUAAAUCUUCCAAGAAAUCCAGAUAAUUAAAUUUGAAGUUCAAGAAAUCAUGGAUAUGAGAAAAUUAAGCUUGCAAGAAUGAAUCAAUGUUCCAAAAGAUAAAUCAAAUUAAUAGCAGGCUCAUUUGACAAGUCCAAUUCGAUAAAUACGAUAUUUUUGAGAAAUCCAUUUCAAUGAACCAUAUAGACAUGGCCCGACUCGCAAAAUACGAGUUAAUUCGAGAAAUACGAUCGAUUAAUAGCCAUCAUUUUGGAGAAAAUGUGAGCUACAAUGGAUAAAUAUAACCAACUCCAAAAGCUAAAUAUGCUACUAGUGAGUAGUGACGACCUCCCUUAAAGAUAUCAAACUUUGAGAAAUCUGACCUCAAUAAAUCGUAUAAGGAAAUUUAAGCAUAAAAAAAUUCAAGUUUUGUGAAAUCCAGUUUGAUUGACGAAGUAAAAACUUCUGAAACUUAAAUUAGGGGCUUAAUUGCAAUUUCCCCAAACAAAAUUGCACCCAAUUAGUUUCUUCCUCAGCAAAACCAAUCCUUCGUCACCACCUGCACACCUUACUGUAAGUCUGUAACCAGCCACCACUUUCGCCGCCAACACCACGAGGAAGACGAUCAGACAAUGCCCACGGCGCCGCGAAAUCAUUUCAAAUAUUAUAGAAAUUAUAAUAAAAAAAAAAUGUUUUCCAAUUUCAAUUUUUUUUAUUUAAUUUGAUUGAACUUUUUUGUCAACUAAACAAUAAAAAGACGUUGUUCACUACUAGAAAAAUAACUUUUAAUGACACCUUAAUGAUGCAAUGAUAUGACGCUUUAACAAAAGCGUCACCACAACUAAUCUAUUUUGACGUCGUGAGUUAAAUCCGCAUUACUAGUUGAAUAUUUUAUUUUGCACUUAUUUUAUUAAUUCUUAAAAAAUAACAAAUAUGACGCUUUUAUAUUUAAUGUCACAAUAGACUCGUUAUGUUGUGGCAUUCUUUAUCAACCGUCAUGAUAUGUUCUGUUAAUGGUCAUUAAUAUACUAAAAUAUUUAGCGGCCAAAUAAAUCCACUAUAUUUAUUAAUUUAUUAAGAAAAAUCAUCUUCUCCACAUCGAGAUCUUAGGCAUUCGGCUGUAGAAAUCUUAAACACCCAUUUUCCCCUAUAUCGGCCCCUCUUCUCUUCUCAAUACCUAGAUUCGCCCUCAAAUUUUUUCCUCUGCCGCGGAAUUGAUUCUUGACGAAGUAUAUCCUAUGAAUCUCAGAAACGGUAAACCUAAAUUUUCAGAUUAGGAUUUUCUUUUUUCUUGAUAAAAGAGUUGGAUAUGGAUUUUUGGUGAAUCGUCAAAUUGACGCUUGUUCCCUUUUACCCAUAGUUAGGCACACGCAAUGGAGAAUUUCGAUUUCGAUUCGGUGGAAAGAAGAUAGAUUAAUGCUGGUAAAAUCUCCCUCUUUCCCUCUCUCGCUCUCUCUUCUUGGCCUUCUUUAUGUUUUUCCAAAAGAUAGAAUAGAUUGGAAUAGUCGUAUUGAAAUCCAAGAAUUUAUCGGGGUGCGAGUGCAAUCCAAGAAUAUAUUAGCUUUCCCGUUAGGAAAUAAUUCUGAGGAUUUGAUGCAUGCUUAACAUUUAAGGUUGGUUUUUCUCUAAUGCUAUAUCAAAUUUCGAGGGUUUGAUUUGUAUUUAUGUGAAGAGAAUUUUUAUUUAUUAUUAUUUAUUGCUAUAUGGAAUUUUACCAUGGCAGAAAGAUAGUAAAUGAGUGUUGUGUAUGUAUAUUUAUAGCUAAUAGGUGAAUGUGCUUGGUGUAUUUUUAUUAACUAAAGAAGAUGUGGAUUUGGACUACUUGAAAUGUGUUCCUAUGCUUAGCUUUAUCACUUUUUUCUUUCAAAACAAUGUGUUAUAAAGUUAUAUGUAUAACUUCUGAUGAUUUGAUUGUAUAUGAUAGGUUUCUUAAGGCAAAAGAGACAUGAAUAAUUUGAUAUGCAUUUGGAAAUGCUGCGAAUCUUGGGCCUGCUUGCUGAAGUCGUAAACUAAUUUCUCAAGGAGACUGUAAUUCACAUACAUAUAUAUAAAUAUAUAUAAUAUCUAAAAAUUGUUUCUCUUGUGUAUGUUCUCCUUGUUGGGUUAUCAACAACUUUUUAUUGUAACUUACACUACUUUUAGAUCGAAGCAAAGUUUGGUUCUUUUAUUGUUAUAAUGAUAAUUUCAGGUUGAAACAAGGUUUGGUUCCUUUACUCGAACACGGAAAUCGUGACUGAAUCUGUGAAAGAUGGCGUUGAUUGCUCCAAGAAUCUACAAAGCCAAGCUCUACAGGUAACAUUUUAUAGAUUUUAUAAUUGCCAUUUUUAUGUGUUUUUAAUCGAUGAUUUUGUAAUGAGGUCCUGUUAUGCAGCCUUAGUCCGUACAUUAUCUAAGUUCAAUAUAUGUGCUUUCAAUCUAAGGUUCUAAUAUUUUUUUUGCAAUGUGCAAUCAUUUUAUAUUUUAAUUUCUGCAGUAACGGGAAGGAAGGGAGUGACUUGUAAGACAGUAAGACUAUAUGCUCUAGAAUAUGUCAGAUAUUUUUUUUUCAAUCUUUCAGUCGCUUCAUAACUUCAUUAUACUCGUUACAUUACUCUCAUUAAUCCCAUUUAUCUCGACUAGGACAUCAAAAAAGUUCAUCAAAAGGCUGCAAAGUUCUUCUGAAGUGGGAGAUGGAGGGAUGUCGCAGUACAAGUAACAUGACAAUCCGUUGAAAAUCAGCCAGUCGAAUCAGAUGUAACGGUUUCAUUACACUAUUAGUAGGAAGGUUUCUUAUUUUAUAUUUUUAAUUAGAUUAGAUGUGGAAUAAUUUUUAUUUAAAUAGUUGGGUUAUUUUGAACCAUUGAAAUAAUUAAACUUCAACACAGAACACAUUUUGGUGUAUAUGUCUGUAAAUGAUUUUUUUUUGUUCGUUGAUAUUUAAUUUUUUAUGUUUAUGAUGAGCAACAGUUUAAUGUAUAUUAGAUUGAUGUAAAAACAAGUGUGAAUUAUCACAUAAUUAUGUUAUUGGGACGUGUAACAAACAGAAUUGAGAGCUUAAUAUUGUCAUUAUAUAUCUAUAUUGUGACGCUACAAAGUGUCAUAAAAAUAGGUAGUUAUAGCAGUUCCAAAUUAAUUACAUGACGCAUACAAGCGUCACAAAAAAUGUGUUAUCAGGACGCGUCAAGGCGUCGCAUAGUGUGGCUGUUGAGACGCUGCUUCUGUCACCAAAAGAUAUUAUGACGGCCACCUAUGUGACGCUUUUGUUAGGCGUCACAACAACCAAAGCGUCACAAGACGUCGAUAUAGUGACAUUUUGAGGCGUCAUAAUAACCAGUUUUUGUAGUAGUGGUUUUUGCCAUUUUAUUUGUUUAAUUUUUUAAAGAGAGCAUAAUUUUGAGCAAAAAAACCUAAUUUUCACUCCGGUUCCAAUAUUACGGUCCAACCGGUCAAACCUGACCGAACAAAGCAAUAGUUCGUGGUUUAUUCGGUUGAACCGGCCGGUCCAAAAAUGAUAUUUUUUGACCAAAAGGCUUGUCAAAAGAAAAAUAGAGAGAUAUUUUUCGCAACAAAAUAGUUCAUAAAAUUCUUUUUGCUCCAAAAAUGAUUAGAAGGUUGUCAAACAUAAUACAUUGUCUUUUUUUUUUUUUUUUUAUUCUCCCAACUUUACCACUAGUUUGAAAUAUAUAAUUAGAUAAUGAAGAAAAAAAGAAAGCAAUGAAGUGGGGAAAAAAACACUAGGCGUGAAGUAUUUGUAAUCCACUAAAUUUUAUACUAUCUAAGGUGCAACUAACCACUAAUAAAUAAACAGUCUUCCAUGAUAACUAUAGGGGUAAAAUUGGAUUGUUUGGAUAAAUAUUUUUGGUAUCUAAUAUAUUCUUAUUGAUGUCAUCACCCAACAUAGUGAGAUUUAGAGCCUCUUUGGCUAAGCUUACAAGCUCCUAAAAACAUCUUAUAAGAUGUUUAGGAGCUUAUAAGUUGUUAAAAGGUGUUUGGUAAAAAAAUUGCAAAAGAUCUUAUUUUUUCUAAAAAUAAGCUGUUAGGGAGCUUAUAAAAUGUUUUUAAAAAAGUACCUAUACCCCACCUUUUUUCUUUAAGAUCUUAUUUGCUUCUUUACUAAAACACUUAAAAUACAAAAUUACCCUCAAAUACUUUAUUAUGUUACAUGAAUAUUAAUAAUAUUUAUAUUUUAACACAACAACGUAUUCUUGUAAUCAAGAUUAAUAAUUAGUUAAAUAUAACUAUCGUAAUUAUCAUAAUAAUUGUAAAAGAAAUUAUUCUCCAUUUAUAUUUUAUAUGUAUAUAAAAAUACACGAAUAUUCUUAUUAUCUCCAUAUUAAAUUAUAUUUCUUUCAUCUAUAAAAAAAAUUAUAUUUCUUUUACAACUUUUAUUUUAUAUUAUUAUAUAAUUUUAUAUUAUUAUUAUUAUUUGAAAAAAUAAUUUGUAAAUAUUAUAAUAAUAUUUUAGGAACAAAAGUAUUUGAGGUUUAAUAAUUAUACUGGCGUCAUGUACUUUUUUGUCAUUAUAGCAAUAAACCGACCUUUUAUUUCCAAACACCUGAACAACUUAUAAAAACAAAAAGUAACUUAUAAGCUACAUAUCCAAACACCUUAAAAAAUAAUUUUUUAAGAUAAGAUUUAACAGCUUAUCAGCUCCUAAAACAUCUUAUCAGAUGUAUGAGCUUAUAAGAUGUUUUAAAUAAGCUUAGCCAAACGGGCUCUUACUUUGACUCGCGAUAUAAGAAUCGCUCGCAUUGCAAUAUCAAAGUAGAGUACACUAGUUAAAUGUGUACUUUAAAUAUAUAAAGAUUGAGGGAGUAAUUAAUUUACUAAUAAUGCUAAAUAAUGUAGUUUUAUUAUGAGCAACAAUGAAACGAUUAUUUUAUUUUGUCCUGUUCAAAACAUGCCGAAUGUGCUAGCCCGACAAAUCAAAACAAUAACUCUCAAGAAAUUCUUUGUUUUAUCAAUAUAGAUCACUUAAAUAUUGUCUUACAAUCUUUAUUCCAAUAAUUAUUCAAAUUUCAUCUAAAUUGUGAACUAUAAACUUUAUAUUAUAAACAAACUUUCGUUAUCUAUAUCCUACUCAACUUCAUCUCGAAUAUUAUUAAAAUAUAAGAUUCAUGCAAUUAAUCAAAUAAAUGCAUCAAAUGCCAAAAUACAUAUUCUCAUAAAAUGAUAAUAUACUGCUUUAUUAGCAAGUUAUUAGUGGUUCCAUUAGCUUGUUGACGACUAAUUAUUUGGAAUUAGAGUUUUGCAUUCAUACUUAUAGAAAAAAACUAAUAUCUUGCGUCAAUACCCAUUUAAAUCAGAGAAUUUUUGUUAAUGCAAAUAAGUCAUUUACUUGUGUUAUGUUAUUUUAAGUUAAUAUCUUCAGGAUGCUCUUUAUCUUUUAGGCCCUCAUUUUGAAUACUGACUUAGGCUACGUUUGACAAAAUUAAGCCCUAGACGCUGAAUGUUAAAUACAUAACUGAAUGGUUAAGAUGCUACAUGUUGAUGUUUAAGCUUGUUUGAUAACUGAAAAACUACUGUAUUUGAAUAAUGUAAUUUUCUUAUAUUGGCCCCAUAAUUGUUGAAAUGAAUGAGUUUAUUUAUUUAAGUCCACCAACGUACACAUAUGACAUAUAUAUUAAUAACUUUCACGCAAUCGUAAAUUCCAUAGAUAACUCAGUGAUAUCAUUUAUCAAAGUAAUUUAUUAUUUAGUCCUACCAAUGUAUACAUAUCAGUAUAUAAAUGUUUAACUCAGUCAUGAAAUUCCACAAUAACUGAGUCAUACCAUUUAUUUAUAAAGUAAACCAGCCCUUAAUGGUUUUAUUUUAUCUUGUAAAACUGCAAAUUCAAUUAGUAUAUAAUUCAAAUGACCGAGACAAUCCUUUUCUCUAAACUUAAAAAAAUAGAUGUGACUUUUUCUAGGUGGUUUGUUCAUUUAUUUUUUUUCUUCAAUUGAUCGUGUUAAGUAACUCCAUUUGAGAUAGAAAGGACACAAGCUAUUAUUUGAAGUACCUCUAAAAUUGCAUAUUCUCUCUCGUAUAUGAUUUUCCAGAUUAACUUGAAGCUCAAUCAUCCCGAGUCGGAAUGUCUUCGUCUGCAGUUCUGAUUAUUACUCAUCCGUUGAAUUAACUACGAUAAAGGUAAGUAGCGAACAUUCUUUGCCGCUAUAUUAAAAUUAAAUUAUUACAAUAGCCUAGUAGUACUUGAACGGUUUUGUUUUAUGCUAUAUCCUGUGAACUUCACGUGUAUAAAUCCUAGACAAUUUACACACAUUUCUAUUGUUUUUUGUGAACCUUUUAUAACACUUGCCACUAAAGAGUCAUCUAUCAAUCAUAUAUAGGCGUUCUUGAUAGACCUUAGAUUGCAAAUCACACGAGAUAUGUAAAGCAACACUUUGCAUAAUAGAAUUCCAGCUCGUAUUAUUUGAUUACGCUCUCUUACUCCACUAAUUAGGCCACUCUUACGAGAAAACUAUGAAAACACUUAAUUUGUCGUAAGAUUGUUACGGCAAAUUAAAUUUUCCAAUCCGCCACUAGUUUGGGUGAAUGUUUUCUUAAUGUACAUUCACCACAAUAAAAAAAAGCAAAAGAAAAAGAAUACAAUUAAUGGAGAAUAUGGAACUCGCUACUUGCAGGUAGGGAGCAUCAUUAAUUUUCCAAUAUCGUAACACUAGUACGGGAGUGAACAAUGAAUCAAGAUGUUUUAAAGACAUCAAGAUAAAUAUGUUCAUUAACGAUGAGACGCGGGAACAACCACUACAAUCUUUGUUACAACAAAUAAUUAUGAAAGUAAAAAUUACUGUCACUUUGGGUUUUUAUUAGCAAUGGAACUUCUAGAGAGAAAAAAUACAAUGACGAAGUGUUGGAGGUGGCAAUAUGCGAAGGUGGAAGUAGCCCAGGGGAAGGAGACUUAAUUUUGUUUCUUGGUUUAUCAUAAUUAGUAUUGAUGUUGUAUCCCUAGCUAUCUUGGAAUAAAUGUGGAAUGCCAAGCGUCGGUUCACUGUAUACAAGCUAGCAGACAAGGUGCGUGCAGAGGCUUUGGCUNNNNNNNNNNNNNNNNNNNNNNNNNNNNNNNNNNNNNNNNNNNNNNNNNNNNNNNNNNNNNNNNNNNNNNNNNNNNNNNNNNNNNNNNNNNNNNNNNNNNNNNNNNNNNNNNNNNNNNNNNNNNNNNNNNNNNNNNNNNNNNNNNNNNNNNNNNNNNNNNNNNNNNNNNNNNNNNNNNNNNNNNNNNNNNNNNNNNNNNNNNNNNNNNNNNNNNNNNNNNNNNNNNNNNNNNNNNNNNNNNNNNNNNNNNNNNNNNNNNNNNNNNNNNNNNNNNNNNNNNNNNNNNNNNNNNNNNNNNNNNNNNNNNNNNNNNNNNNNNNNNNNNNNNNNNNNNNNNNNNNNNNNNNNNNNNNNNNNNNNNNNNNNNNNNNNNNNNNNNNNNNNNNNNNNNNNNNNNNNNNNNNNNNNNNNNNNNNNNNNNNNNNNNNNNNNNNNNNNNNNNNNNNNNNNNNNNNNNNNNNNNNNNNNNNNNNNNNNNNNNNNNNNNNNNNNNNNNNNNNNNNNNNNNNNNNNNNNNNNNAAUUGAAUUAGUAGAUCCGUUAGAGAAUAUUCUAUGGUGGAUUAGGACCUUAAUAGGGUUAUUUCUUAGUAUAUAUGGGUUGAAUGAGCAGCCGAAUAUUGAUUAAUAAUUAAUGAGUCAAUCAGAUAGGCCCGAAUUGGUAUAUCAUUAAGCCCCAUUCCCCACUCUUGACUGAGUCUCAAGUAGUGAGAGUCGUUCAAGAAUAAAUAUUUUUGUUGACCUUAAGAAUAUUUUGUCGAAUGUAUGGCAAAAUGGAGAUUAUCGUGCCCUUUUUAGGAUUUUAAAAAUCCUAAGGGACUCUUUUAGCUUUUCAAUUUUUUGAAGAUCUUACUUGCAAUGUUUAGUAAUUGUCGAGGACACACAUUCGGUGAAACCUCCUAUGCCUUGUUGACAAGUCUUAGUGGGUUUUCGGAUUAGGAUUUUUGUAUCUCGCACAGUGGUAGGGUUAGGGAAAGGCACGGAGUUUGGAGACAUCGAGCUCGGGGUCGAACACUAAGGUGAGGGUGCUGACGGAUGGGCGCAUAAAUAACGUUAUGGGCUCCAUGGGGAUGAAUUUCCGACCCUUGGUCGUCGAGUCAAGGGUUUUAGAGGUUGGAUUUUUGGGUUGAUGAGAGAAGGUGUCUCGGCUACUUAGCCCUACGUGUCAUGGACUUCCAAUCAACAUUUCGUGACGAUGCAACGAAGAUGAAGUAGUGGCAUCCAAAACACCGGAGUUGCAGCAAUAAAUCCGAGAAUAAUCUUACACUCUCAAAACCUCCAAUCUUUUAUUUAAUAUCCCGAAUUAAUAACUUUUCUAUAAGGGUAAGCUUGUACUUUAAGGUCACGUUUGUUUAUGUUUUCAAAUCAAUUUCCAGCUUUUAUACUAAACAUAAAACCGGGAUCGUGUUUGUUUAAGAUUCUUCACUUGGAUAUACCUAUUAUUAUUAUUAUUAUUAUUAUUAUUAUUAUUAUUAUUAUUAUUAUUAUUAUUAUUAUUAUAAUUUUGUAGCAUUUUAUCGUGAGACUACGAAAAAUAACAGAUAUUUGAAUCUUCUUAUGCCAUGUUACGCAUAUGCACCCGUAAUACCUAGCAUACAUAUAAUUUAAUGUGCUCAUCACGAGUACUUUAAUCUCCAAUCUUUCUCUGCAGAUUGAUUGUUUUUUUCCAAGAAAUUAAAUGAUGAGGAUACCAUUUAUACUAGGAGUGAUUUCAUCACUAUGUCUGAGCACAACAUUGGUGGUAGCAGUAGAUUGGUCCAAGCCUGGUUGUCCAUCAAAGUGUGGAAAUAUCACAAUUCCAUAUCCUUUUGGCAUUGGUUCUCAUUGCAGUUUCAAUUCUUCCUUCGAAAUCACCUGCACGAAAGACUCCACCACCGGAGUAGAAGUACCAUUCUUGAACAUCAUAAGUAUGGAAGUACACAAUUGUUCUGUUCGCGGUACCGUCAUAGUAAAGAACCCCGUUACACCAAUGAUAUGCUCUGAUAUGCAAGACACACAAUCUAUGGUAAGGUCGCUCGAUAAAACUCCAUUUUCCAUCUCCAGCCGACAUAAUUUGUUGGUUGUUUUGGGCUGUCGGAAUUCGGUCCGCCUGUAUCCUAACGCGACAGCUCCAGGCGGCGGAUGCAUGGCAAUUUGUGAUCAUAGUUCUAUAGACAACAGCUGCAAUGGUGUCAACUGCUGCCGAAUAACAAUACCACCUCAACUUAAGGGGCUUAAUUAUACUUACCAAGGUACUAAUCAAGUUGCUACUAAUGAGAGUUCAUGUGGUUAUGCUUUCCCUGUCGAAAGAGUAUGGUUCCAAGAUGAAUACAAAAGGUACAAGGGCCUUCAGAAUAAUCUAUUAAAUCCUUUUGACAAAGAAUUCGAAUCCGCACCACUGGUACUUGAGUGGGAACUCGACAGAUCAACAUUUUCAGAUCCUAAUGUAUGUCCGAAUUACAUAAAAAUAAUCUCACCAAAUACAUCAUCACUUCCUAGUCAACCCGAGUAUGCAUCUUCCAUCCAAUAUUGCUAUUGCGGGAGUGGCCAUGAAGGGAACCCAUAUAUACCUGGAGGAUGCAUUGAUAUUGAUGAAUGUAGCGAUCCAAAAUUGAAUUUCUGCAAAAAUAUAAAUGCAACUUGCAAAAACAGCAAAGGAGGUUACCAGUGUGAAACUAUAAAGUAUAAGGUUAAAAAACCACAGGUGGCCAAAAUAACAGUCAUCAGCGGUGGUACUGUCCUUGGUGCACUAAUUUUGUUCAUAGCGGCAUGGAAGUCCAUCAGGAAAAAAAACAAGGCUAACCGUAAACUCAAGUUCUUCAAACAAAACGGAGGUUUGUUAUUGCAACAAAAGUUAUCUUCAAACAACAACAGCCUAGAAAAGACCAACCUAUUCAGUUCCAAAGAGUUGGCACAAGCUACCGAUCGUUACAAUGAAAAUCGUGUAUUGGGUCGUGGUGGCCAAGGUACCGUCUACAAAGGAAUGUUGACAGAUGGAAGAAUCGUGGCAGUCAAAAAGUCGAUGAAGGUAGAAGAAGGUGAUGUCGAACUGUUCAUCAACGAGGUUGUUAUUCUGUCGCAGAUAAACCACAGAAAUGUGGUCAAACUAUUAGGGUGUUGUUUGGAGACCGAAGUUCCUCUUUUAGUAUACGAGUUCAUACCUAACGGCACACUCUUCCAACACGUGCACAAUCCAAACGAGGAGUUCCCGUUAUCGUGGGAAAUGAGAGUCCGUAUUGCAAGGGAAGUAGCCGGGGCACUCUCUUACUUGCACUCUUCUGCAUCUGCACCAAUUUAUCACAGGGAUAUAAAGUCCACGAAUAUACUAUUGGAUGAAAAGUACAGGGCCAAAGUUGCUGAUUUCGGGACAUCAAGAUCGAUUGGUAUAGAUCAGACGCACUUGACCACACGAGUACUAGGAACGCUCGGUUAUUUGGACCCGGAAUACUUCCAAUCGAGCCAGUUUACGGAUAAGAGCGAUGUGUAUAGCUUCGGUGUUGUUGUGGUGGAGCUUUUGACGGGGGAGAGAGCUAUAUCGUCAAUUAGAGCCGAUGUGGGAAGGAGUUUGGCGACACAUUUCUUGCACUCGAUGGAGGAGAAUCUUUUAUUCGAAAUUCUCGAUGCGAGGGUGCUGAAAGAGGGGAAGAGAGAGGAAAUUGUGGCGAUUGCCGAACUUGCUAAGAGAUGUCUGAAUUUGAAUGGAAAGAGAAGGCCGACUAUGAGGGAAGUUGCUAUGGAGUUGGAAGGAAUUCAAAUGGUGAAAGAAGUUUACUUACGAAAGGAAGGCAUCAUUAAUGAAUAUGCACCUUCCAUUGAUGAUCAUGAUGUUGCUGAGUCUUACGACUUCUCUUCAAUCUCAGGAAUUAUGCAUUUGGAUGAUUCAAUAACUGCAUAUUUACCGGAAGAUGGUCGUCCUUUGCUUGAUGAUCCUUGAUUACCAAUUAUCUUUCAUCUUUUAUCCAUUUUCCAGUUCCUAGCUAUUAAUUUGUAAUAUAUGCGCAUCAAACUUAUUUACAUUUCGUUUAUCGUCAAAUACUUGUAGUUCUAAAGUAUGAUUUUAAUGAUUUAAUAGUGUUCUGUUUGUACGUUGAUCAUGAGGCCAAAUAAAGACUUUUUGUAAAUUGUUAUGUUAUAUAUUAUGGGAUAUGUGUGGGAUUGUAAUUGUAUGUUAGUUUCUACCAUGUUAUGGAAUAUUCAUGGUUUAUACUUUACAGGGCACGUAGAUAUGAAUUAAGAAUGAGUGUAUGCCCCGGUGUUUUUGCUCGAUUAUCGUAGGGCGUACUUCAAAUCACAAGAAAUGCAAGACAAAUAUGUUGAGGUAGUUCCAAGCAAGGUAUUGCUCAAUCUUUAGUAGUUCGCUAUAGACCUCUCACGACAUUUGCAGCACAAUCCAUUGCUUUGGCCCCCAAUCCUAAGGGCCCUCAAAUUAAAAAAAGAAAAAAAAAAAAAUAAAUAAAAAAAAAUAAAUAAAUAAAUAAAUAAAUAGAUAAAUAAAAUCCUUCUGAAUGCCCAACACAUGAAAUUAAAAUGGAGGCAUAAUCAAACUAAUUAAAAGGGGCUAUAUGUCAAACACCCUUCAUUGCGAUUUUAAUUCUAAAUAAAUCCUAUAUUUAUAAAUGAGAUUUGAGAUUAAUCCAAUGGGCCUGAAAAACCAUAUGCCCUUACUAACUAUUAAUUAGUAUAAUUAUUUAAUUUAAAAAACAUUAUACGCAUAAUCUACACCAAAAUCUUCUCAAAAAAUUAUUCCCGUUAUCACGCCAAUUCAGUUUUUUUUUUCCUUUUCUUUUUUAUUUUGUUUAAUGAUUUUCUUUAUUUUGAUUUAAAAGAAAAUUUUGUAAUUAUUUUUUUCCGGUUCUUUAUUUUAAAUUAUUAUUUUUUUCUUAUUUAUAUUUUUCAUGUUUUUUAUUUUAACUUAAAAAAUGGUUUUAUUUUUAUUUUCGUUUUUUCAUGGUUUUUCUUUUUUCUUAAUUUCAAUUUGUUUUUAAAAUGGUUUUUUUUUUCUUUCUAGUUUUUUUAAAUAAAAACCACUCUAUAUAAACAUGAAAACCACUAUGUAUAACACAACUAUAUAAACAUGAAAACCACUCUGUAUAAUAACUAUAUAACAUGAAAACCACUAAAUUUAUCAAAAACCACUAUGAAAUUAAAGUACAAAUUAAUAUAAAAUAAGCAUAAAUUUAUCGAAAACCACUAUGGAAUUGAAGUAAAAUUUACUAUAAAAUAAACAUAAUCCACAUUAAAAUUAACGUAAUCCCCUAUUAAAUUAGUGUAAUCCACUGUUACAUAAGUGUAAUCUAGUAUAUGUUCAUCCAAAACCACCAUUAAUAAAUGUUCAUCCAAAACCACUAUUAACAAAUUUAUACAAACAAAUUCGGCAUCACUUCGGUUGCUCAAGAACCUGAAACAAAAAGAAAAAAAAAAGGUAACAAAUUGUUAGUCUAAUUAGUGUAAUCCAUUCACACUCUCAAACCAUAACAAAACGUAAUCCACUAUUUCAAAUAACCUUUGUGGGCCAACCCUAUGAAUUCUCAAGAAACUCAAGAAUAUAAGAAAAAAAAAAAAAAUACACAAGCCAAAAUGGCUGCCACACCCUCUUUGCGCCGCGGCGCAAGGCCAACCCCUUAAGCAGGAAAAAAGCAGAGUGAUCCUACACAACUAAUUAACACUGACUAAUUAAAUAUUCUUAAUCAUCAAGAUUAAAAAUUAGAUCGGUGCUUAAGUAAAACAGUUAAAACAUUAUGAAUACUCAAUAAACAAUCUUCUAUCUGUAACAUUUAUCACUCAAAUUAAAAAUUAAUUAAAAAUCGUCUAGUUUCCCAAAAUCUUCAUUAACCAAACGAUUCGAAACUCACCUGAUGGAUGAUUACACAAAUCAAUGAGCACGCAAUUGGCCAACGAUUUCAUUUGCAGCAAUUCAAACCAUGUCGAUAAUCCGGGUCUGACCUGGACCGUCGGGUCGGAUCGACGUGAAAUUCGAAAAGUAGAGCAUCACAAUGAGAAAUCGACCUGGCCCGUCUCGGCCCGGAAGCUCGCCGCCACUCUCUCGGAGAAUUCGAAAAAUAGAGCAUCACAAUUAUUAUAUUUUAUUUGCUGUGCUAUGUGGCAUAGCGCAACUCAAAGAAAAAGAGAAUGAAAGGUUUUUCACUUGUAAAUCAUCAUAAUAAGCGGUAAAAAAAAGUUAAAUGAAGCUAAAUAAUUUGAAUCAAUAAAAAGACAUUUUCUCAAUAUUUUCUUGGGGUCCCAAAAUUCUCAGGACCGGCCCUGGACCCUCUGUAUAAUCCUCCUGGUAUAUUAAUUGUAUGCAAUAGUUUGCUAGGUUAUGUUUUUGCAUAUUUUUUUACUUUGUGUAAGCAGCUGUUUACACCUUUGAUGCGUGUAAAUACGAUAAGUAACGCAUGUACAAAUCUUGCGUUCGUAUCGUUACGUGUUAGGUUCGGUAAUACCUAAGACUAUGGUUUAGUUUUAUACAGUACCAAUUAGAAGGUUGUAUCAUUUAAUUCCCUAAUUAAAUUUCGUCCUUCUUACUACUAAUAUUCUUAUGGCUUAUUGCAAAUCUUUGGUCAACAUUUUCAUGGCCUGACAUUUUUAAUGCAACUUGAAUCCCUGGCAUCAAAAUGUUUUGUGAGAAAAUAAUCAUCAUUAUUUUAACUUAUAAUCUUAAGGCGGAUUAAAUACAAUUGAUUUUUGACUCUGAUUCAAAUAAAAUCUUAGAAAUUACAAAACAUGCAAGUUGUAGAUCUUUUCGGGCACUAUGACAUAACUUUAUCCGAACUAAAUAUUUUUUUGCCCCUGGUGGUAAUUAAGCAAUAAAUUUAUUUCUCUUGGAAUUUUCUGAAAUUGGAAGUCUUUGGGACCUUUUCAGUUGACUUGGAAGUCUCUCUCGAUGCCUUUGUUUUUUACGAAUAUUAGUUGUUGAAAAGUAAAAUGCCCAUUUUAGUCAAGAUGGAAGUAGGAUGGAAGCUUACCUCCUGAAAGCAACUCAAAUUAAAUAUUGCAUUAUUGCGUAUAUAUUAUACAUAGUAAAUUUCAAAAAGUACCUCUGUGUAAUUACUAAAUAGCAAAAAACACCUCGUAAUAAAUGAACUAGCAAAAAUCCCCAUAUGAAAUUGAUUAAAUAGAACACUUGGCCCAUUUUUUUUUUUAAUUUGUGUGUUGACUUGAUAUAAAAAGGCACAAAUACUCUUGAGAUUUUGCAAUUAAUAAAUUCUUAUAUUUUAUAAAUACUUUUAUUAUUUUAUUUUUGUUAUAUCUUAAUUAGUAAAGUACAAUGGGGUUUUUUAUUUCUAUUUCUAUUAUCAGAUAAUUUCUGUAUAUUCUUUUUAAUUUGACUGUUUAGAAAUUAACAUAUUAUUAAAAAAUUAGCAAACAAUUAAAUUGAAAAAUUAUUAAAAAUUUGGUAAUCAAAUUAAGUGUAUGUUUUUUUAAAUACAUUUUGAUGGACAAUUUCACCAUUUCACGUCCAAAAAUCAGCUAUUAACCGCACAUCCAGCGAGUGAGCCACACGAAGGUCAACCAGGAGGGUUUCUGCCUUUGACUAAAUUUCACAGGGGAGAUUUUGCUAAUUUAUUUAUCACAUGGGUUUUUUUGCUAUUUAGUGAUUACAUAGGGGUACUGUUUGCAAUUGACUCUAUAUAUAUUAUAUCUCAAACCAUGCAUUUUUAUACCGAAUUCCAACUUGAGAAGCUAAUUAAGUUCAAUCUUCCUCACUCAGAAAAGUCCUCAAUUACAUCCAGAAUAUCAGGCAACUUAUUCUUCUUAAAUUAAUUUGCCAAUACCAAUUCAGUAAUAUUAUAUACUGCAGAAUUAUAUAUCUCUCAAACCAAUUUGCCAGAGAUUCUAUAGCUUGAGGCUCAACCAUCCCCGACUCUCAAAAGGUAAGUGACUAAUUACAACUUUUUAUGUACUUUCCUUCCUAUACUGAAUAUUAUACUCAUUUUGAUAAGCCUCUAUUUUUAUUUUUUUUAUUAAUUUUUUUUUUUUUUUGGUGUUUUGGAGAAAUGGGAGUUUAUGAAAGAAGAUAAAGGCAUUUUUUAGAGUAAAUUACCAAAAAUUCCCUAAAUUAAAGUUUGAGUACCAAAAAACCUCUAAUAUAUUCAUAAUUACUAAACGCCCCUUUAACUACCGAUUGCCCAAAUUUCUGAACAGAAAAUGUAUAAUUUCUAGGGGGCAGCUAAAAUUAAUAUCCAAUAUUUUUUCACUUCAUUAGCACCAAAAUAAAAAUUAGAUAAUAAAUUGAAAAUCAAUACCACAAAAACAUUAAAAAUCUCAUUUUUCUUUCUUAAAUACCAGACACACAAAACCCCUCAACUUCUUCACAAACCCCUCAACCUCCUCUUUCUUCCUCACAACAAACUCUCCAAAAAAAUCUUAGAACUAAAGAAAUCAAAAGCUCACACAACUCCCAAAAUGGAGUCAAAUGACAACAAAAUGGUAGUUUACGACCAAGGAGAACCCAUUAAGGUAUGUAUCCAUAUCUUUUUUUGAGCUUGUAAGUCGAUUUUGAAGUUCUUUGUUUUUUAACCACGUCGAUAGUUUUUCGACACAUACAGAUCAAAAUUUAGUCAAUUUUCGACCCCAAUUUGUCGAAAAAUAUUUAAACAAAAAAAAAAACAAAAUAAAGUGAAUUUCAACACAUAUAUGUCGAAAAACCACUGCUGCUUAAAGAAAAAUUGCAGCAGUGAUUUUUCAACACAUACACUUAGAAAUUUUGACAUGUAUGCGUCGAAAUUCACUUUUUUUUUACUAUUUUUCGACAAGUUUGUGUCGGUAAUUGACUAAAAUUCAACUUCUAUAUGUCGAAAAAUGUCAACGGUGUUAAAAAAAAACUUUAAAAUUGACUUUCAAGCUCAAAAAAGACAUGGAUACAUACUAUAAUGAAUUUUCCUUCCAUGUAAAUUACCAUUUUGUUGUCUUGUGACUCUAUUUAAUAGGCUCUGUGAGGUUUUGAUUUUUUUUGAAUUUUGAGAUUUUCUGGAGGGUGUGUAAGAAGAUGAAGAAGAAUAGAGGGUUUAACGGGUUUGGGUAUGGAGAGUAGAAUAGAGUUUUUUUUUUCUUUCUUUUUUUUUUAAUCUUUAGUAUUGAAAUGGGGAAAAAAUAUUUCUUUGUAUAAAUUGUACUCCCUCCGUCCCAAUUUAAAUGUCGUUUUGGGUUGUUUUGCACAUAUUAAGAAAAUCAAUAAAUGUGCAUAGAUUAUAGUAAAAAACAGAUAAAAUUACAAAAAUAUCCUCGACAUUAAUUGACUCUCAACUAAUUAAUUAGGAGUGAUUGAGGGUAAAAUUGAAAAUAAUGCAAUUAAUGCUUCAUUGAAAAUGUAAAAUGAGUAAAUGACAAAUAAUUUGGGACAAAAAAAACUCUCUAAAAAGACAUAAUAUGGGACAGAGGAAGUAUUUUGUUUGAUAAGGGGUAUUUUAGUACUUUACUACUAAAAACAAUGAUUUUUCUUAUUAAUCUAAGAAAAACUUGUAAAAACUUCUAUAAAAUAUGGUAUUUUAGUAUGGAAUUGAGAAAAAAAUGGUAUUAUUUUUAAGUGCCCUCUAAUUUCUAUUAUAUAAGUUAACUAAAAUUAAAUUUACGAACGCCUAAAGUAUGGGAAAAUUUCCAAAACACCACUCAAGAAUCCAUAAUUAUUCAAACCCCCAAAGUUUGUUACAAUCUAACAAUGUCCCCCUUGUACUAUUUGUUUCCGAACUCCGACCCCAUAUAUAUUUGCUCUGUCGAGCUGCUCAAUGAAAUUCCUACGGUUUUGUAGUGACAUUUCGAUGACUUCCAAAUGACUUUCGAUGAUAUUUAGUGAUAUAAUUAAUACUAUUAUACAUUUUAUAUUAUAUGUGAAUUAAGAAUGUUAGUGAAUUUUCACUGCUAUUACGAACCAAAAAUAUUUGGGUUUAAUCCCACUUUGCAUCCUUGAAAUCUUUAUUUUGGCACUUUGCACCCUAAAAAAAGUUAAUAGCAAUUUGCAUCCUCGAAACACAAUAAAUCAUUCACGAUGCAUCCUGAAUUGAAUAUUUAAAAUUUAAUGAGGUCAAUUUUAGUUUUUGGCAAAAUGAGUUUUUUAGUCCUGUAAGUUUGCUAGUUGAGAGUUUUAGUCCACCAUGUUUAAAAAACAGAAUUUUAGUCCUGUAAGUUACAAAAGUUGAGAAUUUUGGUCCUAUGACCUGCUAUAACAGGUAAUGUGAUGGUUGGUUGAAUGAAUUGGCAUUUAAAAUAUAAAAAUAAAUAGAUUAAAAAUAAAUUAGGUGAUGUAGCUAAUGAGUUGGAAGGUUUUGGAGAAAAAAUUAAUCCUCAAUGUCAAAUUCACCAAAAUAAUGAGGAAAUUAUAACAUAUUAAAUAUUAAUUAUAUAUUUAAUUCUUUUUGUUAUAUUUGCAAUAAAGAAGCACAAUUAACCCAUUGAAUAAAAUCUACAACUAUAUUUUUAUGAAGAAAAUUAGACUAACUAAUGUUUAAUUAAUAUUUCUUAGUUUUUAUUUGUUAAAAAUAAUAAUUAAAUUCAUAUUUAUCUAAAUAUUUCAUUUUUUUACAAAUCUAUACUUAGUUAUACAAUGAAAUUAAACCAACAAUCAAAUUCAACAUAAAACCGGAAAAAAAAAACAUUUUAUUAAACGUUGUUGUAAAGUUAAAUGACAUGCACAAUCAUAAUUAGUAUAAGAAAUCAAAUCACAUUUACGAAUUAACCAAAAAAAUAAUAAAAUAUAUUCAAAACUCUAUUAAAUUAAAUGUACCAAAAAGGUAUUCUAGAGCCUCCAAACAUAAAAUACAUUAUCAAACCAAGAGUAACAAAUAUCCAUAACGAGUAAUAAAAUAUAGUUAAUUACUAUUUUUAUCAAUUGAAAAUUAUAUGAAAUAUUAAUUAAAAAAUAGUUACUACAAAAAUGCUUAAUUCAUUCAUCAAAUAAAAAUAAUUUGAUGGUAUAUUUUAUUUUCUUCCAAAAUUGUCCAACUCAUUAGCCACGUCACCUAAUUUAUUUUUAAUCUAUUUGUUUUUAUAUUUUAAAUGCCAACUCAUUCAACCAACCAUCACAUUACCUGUUAUAGCAUGUCACAGGACCAAAAUUCUCAACUUUUGUAACUUACAGGACUAAAAUUCUGAUUUUGAAACAUGGUGGACUAAAACUCUCAACUUGCAAACUUACAAGACUAAAAAACUCAUUUUGCCUUAGUUUUUCUUAGAUUUUUUUUCAUGGUGCAAAUAACAAAUUAAAUUGUUAUUUUCUAUUCUCCAACCUAAUUUCGAACAUAAGUACAAAAAAAGAAAAUCGCACUAACUUACUUAAAAACUAUAUUUUCCAUGUCUUUUCUUUUGUAAAAUAUUUUUUUGUGAUAAAAAAUAUAAUUUUUAAAUAUGUUGAUGAGAUGUAUUUUUAUUUUUGCAUUUUGUAGUUAUGAAAUGAUUGAUGAAUAUGCAAUUUUUGAUUUGAAAUUUGCUAUCCUAAAAAAACACCACUAAAAAUAUAAAUUACCUUCAUUAGCUUAAAAAAUUCAUUCAGGUUGCAUUGUGCAUGAUUUAUUGUGUUCACGGUGCAAAGUGCUAUUAAUAUUUUUUGAGGGUGCAAAAGUGCAAAAAACUAUAUAUCAAGGGUGUAAAAUGGGAUUAAGUAAAAAAUCUGAUUAUGGAAUAAAGUUUUGCAUUCCUAUUUUUAAAAUUUUGAUUUUCGAUUUUCUCUUAAACUGUUUGGAACGGAAUUAGAACUAGUUAUUUACUUCUAAAAAGAUUGACAUUUUUUCAAAAGUGCUAAUUACGCCCAAACUUUUAACCUACUAACUUGAGAAGAGCUACUAAGGUAACCCAUAGAAACAAAAUAAAUAAAUAAUGGAGGGAGUUAUAGCGAAAUCAAAAUAUUUAUACUACAUUAUUGCAUGGGUCAGUAAAAUAAUUGGCCCUACUCGAUGGGUCAGUUAAUUAUCAAUUAUCGGCCUUAAAGAUAACUUCGAAACGGAACUGAUAAAACUGACCCAUGUCCAACCUAGUGUUUAAUGGUAGUUUGUUAAAAAAAAAAUUAUAGAGCUUUUUUUGUAAUAAAAAUAUCACUUGGUGGUAUUUUUAACUACUAGAGUAAAUAUAGGGGUGCCAAUUACAAUAAUGAAUAAACUCAAUAAAUAAUGGCAUUAUUUAUUUGUUUACAAGUCUUGAUGUUGAAAAGUCCAUUUGAGAUGUUUUAGUAUAAGAGUUAAGAGAUGUUCCUAAAUAUUCAAGCCUCCUGACACUAGUAGAAAAAUGGGUUUUUACUACGAUCAUUAACCGUAGUAAAAAUGUAUCAAAUUCGUACUAAAAAGGUAUUUGCUACGCAUUUGCCCUGUAGCAUAUACAGGCGUGACAAAAGCUUUGCUACGGUAAAUGGCCGUAUCAAAUACUCUUUUGCUACGGUAAAUCCUAAUAUUUACGACGACUUCCAAAUUGUUUCGUAGUAAAAAGUACCUUUUAUUACGGUUUUUUACCGUAGCAAAAAAAUUCGUAGUAAUUAGCAAAUUUUCUACUAGUGUGAUUAGGAUUUAGAUAUAAGAUUAUACCCAUUUCAAUUAAUUAACCCCCACCCUACCAAAUGCAUGUUGUGUAUGGAUUUUCAUCAAUUAAAUUUAUUAUCACUUUCACUGAUUCUGCAGACAUAUAUAGUAUCCAAGAAAGAAAUGAAUUUACUCUUUAUACUCCGAUUCAUUUCAUCAAUGUAUCUCACCACAAAUCUGGCGCUAGCAGUAACUUUGUCCAAAGACGGUUGUCCGUCAACGUGUGGAAACGUCACAAUUCCGUAUCCUUUCGGCAUUGGUCCUUCAUGCAGUGCCGAUUCCAGGUUCACUAUUCUUUGCCGAAAUUCUACCAAUCUUCCUCAUAGACUAGUACCGUUCUUGGUCAACAUAAGUAUGGAAGCACUGAAUAUUUCCCUGUACGGUACGGUCACGGUGAACAAUCCCGUUACACCGAUGAAUUGCUCUAAUGUUCAAGAGAAACAUGAUUUGGUAAAAUCACUCAAGAAAAGUCCAUUUACCAUCUCAGGGUAUUACAAUUCAUUGGCCGUUUUGGGUUGUCAAAACUCGGUCUGGAUCCGUGAUAACACCACGGGUACAGUCGGAGGAUGCAUGGCCACUUGUGAUGCUAAUUCUAAUGACACCAGAUGUAAUGGUGUUAACUGUUGUCAGACAACAAUUCCCCCCCAACUUCAGGAGCUUAAAUAUAUUUCUCAAGCCACUAAUGGAGGAGGAGUUGGUAGUACGAGUAACGGAUCAUGUGGGUAUGCUUUCCUUGUUGAAAGUACAUGGUUUCGAUAUGAAUAUAAUAGGUAUAGGGGACUUCACAAUGAUCUGUUAAAUCCAUAUGACAAACACUUUGAAUUUGCCCCUCUGGUACUUGAGUGGCAAUUCCAAACGGAAUUUGGUGCAAAUAGUCGUCAUUGUGCCUCGAUCAAUGAGAUUUAUGGCUAUCGAUACAAUAUCCCCGACGGUGUCUUGUCUUACCUCGGAUAUUGCAUUUGCAAAGAUGGGUAUGAAGGGAACCCAUAUCUACUUGGAGGAUGCAUUGACAUAAAUGAAUGUAUCGAUCCAAGAUCGAAUCCUUGCGGUCAGCAUGGUGUUUCUUGUGUAAACUUAGAAGGGAGCUACGCAUGUCGCUAUGGCAAUUAUUAUGGAUAUGGCAACAAUAGAUCUCGAGUCAAAAUAACAUUUAUCAGUGUUGGCAGCGCACUCGGUGCACUAGUUUUACUCUUCGUUGCAUGGAAAUCUACCAAAGUCAUCAGAAAAAGAAUCAAGGCUAGCCGUAAACUCAAGUUCUUCAAGCGAAACGGAGGUUUGCUAUUACAACAAGAGUUGUCUUCAAGCGACAAAGGCCUAGAAAAAACCAAGUUAUUCAGUUCCAAGGAGUUGGCACAAGCUACAGAUCGUUACAACGAAAACCGUGUACUUGGCCGUGGUGGCCAAGGUACAGUCUACAAAGGGAUGUUGACAGAUGGAAGAAUCGUGGCAGUCAAAAAGUCAAUGAAAGUAGAAGAAGGCGAUGUCGAACUUUUCAUCAACGAGGUUGUUAUUCUGUCGCAGAUAAACCACAGAAAUGUGGUCAAACUACUGGGGUGCUGUUUGGAGACCGAAGUUCCUCUUUUAGUCUACGAGUUCAUUCCCAACGGCACACUCUUCCAACACGUCCACGAUCCAAACGAGGAGUUCCCUUUAUCUUGGGAAAUGCGAGUCCGUAUUGCAGGAGAGGUAGCCGGGGCGCUUUCUUACUUGCACUUUUCUGCAUCUGCACCUAUUUAUCAUAGAGAUAUCAAGUCGACGAAUAUAUUAUUGGAUGAUAAGUACCGGGCCAAAGUUGCUGAUUUUGGGACAUCAAGAUCCAUUGGCAUCGACCAGACACACUUGACCACACGAGUACUAGGAACAUUUGGUUAUUUGGAUCCAGAGUACUUCCAAUCGAGCCAGUUUACGGAUAAGAGCGAUGUGUAUAGCUUCGGUGUUGUUGUGGUGGAACUUUUGACGGGGGAGAAAGCUAUAUCGUCGAUUAGAGCCGAUGUGGGAAGGAGUUUGGCAACACAUUUCUUGCACUCAAUGGAGGAGAAUCUUUUAUUCGAAAUUCUCGAUGCGAGGGUUUUGAAAGAGGGGAAGAGAGAAGAAAUUGUGGCGAUUGCCGAACUUGC